UACAGAGGUCUCAAGCGUUGUUCGGAUUCAUUGGGCGUAAAGGGUGCGUAGGUGGCGCGCUAAGUCAGGUGUGAAAUUUCGGAGCUUAACUCCGAAACUGCAUUUGAUACUGGCGUGCUUGAGGACUGGAGAGGAGACUGGAAUUCACGGUGUAGCAGUGAAAUGCGUAGAGAUCGGGAGGAACACCAGCGGCGAAGGCGGCAAACUGGAUAGGCACUGACACUCAACAACGAAAGCGUGGGGAGCAAACAGG
rnacentral:rRNA from 1 species